AAAUCAUGGUAAGGGCAUUGUCUAAAUAAACCCUUAAAUCUAUCCAUGCUUCAAAUAGUGAUUCCCCAUCCAUCUGAAGAAAUCUUUGGAUUCUAUUCCUCAUAU